UGGGUGACCUACCUUCGAAUGGGGGAUAACGUCCCGAAAGGGACGCUAAUAUCGCAUAACAUCCUGUCCUUGAACGGAUGGAGAUCAAAGCCGGGGAUCGCAAGACCUGGCGUUUGAAGAGGGGCCCGCGUCCGAUUAGCUAGUUGGUGAGGUAACGGCUCACCAAGGCGACGAUCGGUAGCCGGCCUGAGAGGGCGGACGGCCACACUGGGACUGAGACACGGCCCAGACUCCGUACGGGAGNAG
rnacentral:rRNA from 1 species